UACGAAGGGGGCUAGCGUUGUUCGGAAUUACUGGGCGUAAAGCGCGCGCAGGCGGUCUUCCAAGUCAGUGGUGAAAGCCCGGAGCUCAACUCCGGAACUGCCAUUGAAACUGUGAGACUUGAGGAUGAGAGAGGUGAGUGGAAUUCCCAGUGUAGAGGUGAAAUUCGUAGAUAUUGGGAAGAACACCGGUGGCGAAGGCGGCUCACUGGCUCAUUUCUGAGCGCUCAGGCGCGACAGCCGUGGGGA
rnacentral:rRNA from 1 species